rnacentral:lncRNA from 1 species
CCAUUUUAUGUUCAUCUUUCUUCACCGAAUGUAGAAAAGAAAAACAAGGUUUGAAAGCUUGAAACAUUCGGCCAUUUUGAAGCUUAAUUCAAGAUCAAGAAUUAAAGAAAUCGGAUUUGGAUCGGGGAAAUACAAAAGUGGUCGAGUAGCCGAUUUAACAGUCGACGACAUCCAAGGUAAGUCUAAUAGCAAUUUAAAUGUUAUUAAAUUGGAAUUUAUAUAAAUAUAUCUAUCAUACAUUUAGUAAGCUGGAACUAAAAGUAUAUAAAUUGAAUAAAACUUGGUGAUUUUUCUAUGUGAUAGCCGAACAUAGAAAUUAAUUUUGGGAGGUUGAUAUUAAUGGUAUAAAUUACAUGUAUAUUAGCUAAAGUAUGCUUUAAGUUCAAUGAUAUGAAACUAAUAGUAGAAUGUACAUGGAUAUGUAGUUCGAAUGUAAGAUUUAAUUUCUUGAGUUGAAUUUAAAGUUAUGAAUUAUAUAUAUAAAGUUUGAAUGUAUGAUACAAGUUCUUUGAUUCUUUGAGUUGAACUUAAUAUUAUGAAUUAUAUAUAUAUGCACAUAUGGUUCGAAUAUAUAUAUUUAAAGUUCUUGAGCUGAAUUUAAUGUAUGAAUUUUACUUACAUAUGUGGUUCGAAUAUAGGUUACAAAUUCUUUGAGCUGAAUUUUAAUGUUGUAAAUUAUACAUAUGUGGUUCGAAUGUUUGUUUGCUAUGGAGAAUUGAAUAUAGUUCAAUUCUUACGGAGAUACGGUUAUUGAGUAAGACUUAGGUAAACAUAAAGAAUUAUACGAAAGAUCAUCUUUGUAUAUGAGAUUUUCAGGCUUAAUGCCUAGCAGGCUUGAUGCCGGUGGAUUAUUUCAGGCUUAAUGCCUAGCAGGCUUGAUGCCGGUGGAUUAUUUCAGGCUUAAUGCCUAGCAGGCUUGAUGCCGGUGGAUUAUUUCAGGCUUAAUGCCUAGCAGGCUUGAUGCCGGUGAAUUAUUUUAGACUUUAUGUCUAGCAGGCUUGAUGCCGGUGAAUUAAUUCCGACUUUAUGUCUAGCAGGCUUUGUGCCGGUGAAAUGAAUCGGGCUUUGUGCCUAGCAGGCUUUAUGCCGGUGUUUUAUAUAGGGCUCUAUGUUUUAUAAAUUUUAUAUGAGCAAUAGUAAAAGCAAAUAAAUGUGUUAAGAAAGUUAAAUUAUUCAGGUAUGUGUUAGCCAUUUGCUUAAUUGCUGAUGAGGUAAGUUGAUUAUUUUAAUUUGAUAAUAGUUUCAAAUGAAAUAUAGAGUAUGAGUUAAUCAUUUGAGUAUAAGCAUGUUUUAGCAUAAUGAUUUAUUGAAUAUUCGGCUUUGCUAAAUAUUUAUGUGUAUUUGGCCAUAUGGUUUGUUUAUAUGAAAAUACAAUGUGAUUUUUAUUAAAGUGUUAUAUGGUACAAAAUAUUAUGAUAUUUGGUUUAUUUUAACUUAAUGAUGGAAUAAGUAUUAAUAUAUAUAUAAAUGAAUUUUUGCUUAUGACUUACUAAGCUUUAAAUAGCUUACUGUGUGUAUGUUGUUCUUCGUUUUAUAGAUUUUUGGAAGUUGGUUACGAGCUCGGGGAUCGUCAAAGAAGAUUAUCACACUAUCGACUCCUCUCGGUAUUUUGUAAAUUUUGAAUUCGAUCUUAUGGCAUGUAUAGCGUAGAUGAAAUACUAGAAUUUAGAUUAUGUAAUAUUAAGCCAUGCGAAAAUGGCUUAAUUUUCUUGUUUGUGUUCGGUUUUGGGCUGAAUUAUGGUUUACGCAUACUUUAAUCAUGGAUUAGUAUUUUAUGGUUAGUAUUUAUAUGGUAAUAUAUAUAUGUGCAUGGUGAUUUCAUUCAAGUGUUUCGGUAAUUAUGUGGUUGAAGUAAGUAAGUUUGUUAUAUUCAUUAAGAUAAAUAAUGUUAAGUUAAGUGUCUAGGUUACGUAUUAUAUAUGAAAUAUAUAUGAUUUGGUUGGAUUUAGUAGUUAAGUGAAUAUAGGAGAUGAUUUAUAAAUUGAAGUAUGCUUGUAAAUGUUGGUGAUUAAUUACGUUUGGCGUAUUGAUAGAGUAAACGAAUGUAUAUAUAUUCAAAUGUGUAUUGAUUAGGAUUUAUGGCUUAGUAUAUAUAAUGGAUUAAUUUAUUUAUAAAAAAAAUUGAAUUGAGUCAGGUUUUGAUCGGUAAUGCCUUAUAACACUAAUCCGGCGACGGACACGAGUCGGGGUGUUACAUUUGAUUGGUAUCAGAGCUACGGUUUAGUCGGUUCUAGGACUAACGUAGUGUGUGUGAGUCUAGCUAUACAUGCCAUAUUUAACCUACGAUAGUGUGAUAUCUCCCGACUCUGACGAAAAUUGUUUUGAUGAGACAGAUAUGUUUUCCAACCGAGCUAAUUUUGAUAGUACAGAAGUAAAUACUCAAAUGUUUGAGUGAAAAUGUGUUGAUGAUGAGUUGAGACUCAUGAAGGUAUGAAUAAGGAUAUAAGAUAUUUUGUUGUUGAUAAAUGUUGUAAUGAUAUGAGUAUAUGAGUUGUGAUAUGUGGCCUACGAUUGCUAUAUGAAUGCUUUGAUUGUGAAUUUGUAAUUUGAGUUGGCAUAUGGAUUAUGUGUUGAGGAAAAAUGUGAUUAUAAGCAAAUGUUUAUUAAAUGUUUCGAGAAUGUGAAAUUAUUAAUAAAUUGGCUAUUUGUAAUAGUAUGUGUUAUGUGCAUUUAUGUCCGAGUUAAAUUUGAAGUUUUACUACCCUCACCCCUUAUCAGUAAAAUGUUACAAUGAAAUCUGUAAGAUUUGGAUCGAAUAAGCUCACAAGUGUGGAGUUACAGAGGUUUGUGUUUGAAAGAUUACUAAUGUGGUCGAAUAAAAGAAUGGGUCAGCAAAUUGAGAUAGUGCUAUAAGAGAUAUUGAAUCGUUUUAAUGGCCAUUCGUAUUAUGCAAAGUCACUGUUAACUAAGAAGUUGAAAUUGAUGAAAUAAAAGUAUUCAGGUAUGUUAUUAGUAUUAAUUGGAAGUUUUUCCUGAAUUGAUUUCUUUUAGAGAUGGGAUAAUGUGAAAAAUUUCUGAUAAAAAAAUUAGAUAGUGGAAUAAUGAUUGAAUUGUGUUGAUAGUUGAGUACAAUGGUUAUAGUCGGGCAAUUACUAUGAUUCUUUUUGGGUAUUCUGUGUGUACAUUUAUCUUCAGAAGUAUAUGUGAUUUUUUUUUCAAUUCAAAAAAAAAAAAAGAAGAAGAAGAAAAUUCUUAUCGUGUGAAAACGCUAACUAAAUGUACCGAUAGAUGAAAGCAUGGUUGAUUUGUUUGGGUUAUGUUCGACAUUGUUAUCUCUUUCACUGAUAAUUUGUUUCAUUGUGUGGAUACGAAAGUCGAUGGUAAAAUCUGAAUGAGAUCAAUAUUCUAUUUCUACUGGUUAUUGUUCUGUUGAAUAUAUGCGAAGAUUAUAUUGCUUUUGUUACUGUGGAUUUCAGUAUUUAAGAAUGACAUCGUUCUUUCUGGACAUUUUCUAGGAUAUCAUUGGAAUUUUAUAUCAUUUUAUAUAAGUUGUAAUUUUUUUUCUUAGAUAUCUUAUGUGACUCCAUAUGCUGAAAUUUCGCUAUUCUGGUUUUCUUAUGAUUCCACGUGAUUAUCUGCAAGAGAUCACUAUUUGGCAAAGAGGAUUAUGUUUAUUAUGAUUUUAAUUUCUGACUUGAAAUGUGAUUGUACAGUGGUACCAUCCCCAGAGUUAUAGAAGUUUUGUUUCUGCAAUGGUUGCUAUUUAAAUCAUAUUUGAUUUUUCUCUGUGUCCAAAUGCUUCAUUAACAGUUGGGAUAAUAUCUAUUUAUAGGGUUGAGACAUUGUUCUUAUUAAGGCACAAUGAUUUCUAUUUGGUUAAGGUAAUUUCUGUAUAAUUUAGAGUUUCGAUGAAUAAUAUAUGAGAUAGCUUCAUUAUAAACUCUUUUCUAGUUCUCAUAAAGGUUUAGCAUUGAUAAAAGUGAAAAUGAUAGAAGAAUAAUAUUAAAUCUAUGAAAUAAUAUGUCUGGGUUAUCCUUAUCAAUGAGAAGAAAAGAUUCAUUCGAAAAGACUGAUUCAGUGGUUUAGUCGAAUUUGAAUUAUUUGUUUGAAAAGAUAAUUGAGUUAUAUGUGUCUAAAUCUAUUCAUAUGUAUGGAAAUAAAUUUUGAAUGAACAUGUGUGAAUUGAGGGAUAAUUUGGAAGAAGAACUUGUAUUCUUGAAGACUUGAUACCGAAUUAUAUCUAUCGGAAUGAUCCUAUCUGGGAAAUGUUGUGAUAAAUUAAAGUUAGUUUGAUUGUUGAAGUUUUCUUUUGCCCGAAGACAAUGUCGACCGAAAUAUCAGUUCUGGUUCAGUUUGAGUUUAAUAAAGAGAUUAUGAUUUUCGUCCUCAUGUUAAUGAAUGGUUCGAAAUGUAUUUCAAUACAAGAGUGUAUAGAGAUAUCUUCUAAUUUUAUACAGUUAAAGCUGCAUAAAAGGAGUUAUGUGAAAUAUUUGAUGAUUAUAAGAGUUUAAAAUGUUUAAUGUCAGAUAAAGAUUUGAACUAGGCAAAGCAAGGUUAGUUUCAAUCGUCGAAAAACUUUUAAGUCUGUAAGUGAUUCUUAUCCGAGGAAAAUGAUUAAAGUUUCGGAUAUUUUGAUUGGGCGAUGAAUACGUGAUUGAUCUUAUCACGUAAUGAACUGUUGAUAGAUGAAUUAGAGGCUAAAUAAAUGUUUAUAUAAUGAAGUUGUGAAAUUUAGAAAUGUGUCAGCGAAUUAUAAGUUAAAAAGGAGUUCAACAUAAAUUGAUUUCCGGCUUAGAACCUUAGAUGUGGUAUUGAUGAUUAUUUGUUAUUUCGAGAUAGAGUGUGCAUACUGGAAGGUUCUACGAAUAUAUAUAACAAUUGUUACAAGAAAAUUUCACUGGUGUUCAUACGGUAUUAACAAGAUGUACAACAGUCCGAGAUAUGAUAUAGAUGAUGAGUGUGAAAUGUGAUAUUUCUGACUUUGUUGAUUAUAGAAAUAGAGAGUUGAUGAAUUUUGUAUAAGGAUUUUCUUAUCAUUAAAAAAGAUAAAGUUAUCUUAAAUAUGGUUAACUCUCUGAAGAAAUCUCUCUGUAAGUAUAGAUUUUUUUUUUCUUUUGAUAAAACAGUUAAGUUAUGUGUUUCUAUGUUGGUAAAUCUGUCUAUGGUGUCAGUUAUCAUUGUUUUGGAUUGAGAUUUGAAAUUUAUAUGGUAAUUCUAAGAGAGAUUACAGUAAUCUAUGAGUAUGAAAUUGCAUUGAAAUCGGGAAACGCAAACCAAAUUCUUGAAAUAUUUAUUUGUCACUAUGUUUUAGAAUUGCAAAGUAACUAAGAAAGAUGUUUGCUAUUAUAAGCAAUUAUCGAACUCCGUUAUUUCAGGAUUGAGUUUUGUGAGAAAAUGAUUCACAGGAUUAAAAUCAUCAGAGAAUGUGAGUAGAAAAUGGAAAAAAAAAAUUUAAUACAGUUAAGCAGUUUCAGCUAGGGAUGAUGUACACUGAAAGUUAGAUCAGAAUUUUAGUUGUGAGAUUAAAGAGAUUUGAAAUUUGAAGCUAUGUGUGAAUUUGAAAUAUAUGAUGUGAAAGUGUUUCGCGAUAGUCUAAAAAAAAAAAACAACAUUGAAUCGUCAGAAAUUGUAUGCAGACUUGAAAAGAAAAGAUAUAGAGUUUCAGAUUGGAGAUAAAGUCUUUUUGUAGGUAUCACAGUGGAAGAAAAUACUUAGAUUUGAUCGUAAAAAGAAAUUGAGUGUGAGAUUUAUUGGGUCGUAUGAGAUUAUAGAGCGUAUCGGGCUGGUUGCUUAUAGAUUGUAGUUGCCACCUGAGCUAGAAAAGAUUCACAAUGUAUUCCAUGUUUCGAUGCUCCAUAGAUACCUAUCUAAUCCUUCACAUGUGAUUAGUCCCACAGAGAUUGAGAUGCAAUCUGAUAUGACAUAUGAAGAGGAACCGAUUUGUAUUCUGACUCGUGAUAUUAAAGAAUUGAGAAAUAAGAAAAUUUAGUUAGUCAAAGUACUAUGGCAAAAACACAGAGUUGAGGAGGCAACUUGGGAGUCAGAAGAUACAAUGGAAGAGCGUUAUCCAAACCUAUUCACCGGUAAGAUUUUCGGGGACGAAAAUCCCUAAGAGGGGGAGAGUUGUAACAGCCCGAUUUUGACCCUAAUCGGAACAGUGGUUUUGGGACCACAAAAUCGAGUCUGAAAAAUAUUUUAAUAUUAUUUUCUGUGUUAAUUAUGUGUGAAUUUACAUAUGUGAAAGUUUCGUGAAUUAAUUUUAUGUUUGUGCGCUUAAUUUUAAAAAAAUGGCUUAAUCGCGUAAAAUGAAAAUUUGAUGGUUAAUUAAGAAAGUGCCUAAUUGUUGUUGUCUUUAUAAGUUUGAGGCCUUAUGUUGUAAUUUAGCCAAUAGUAAUAGGUAGUGGAUGGCAUAAUGAUGAUAUGUGAUUUAUAUAUAUAUAAAAUAAAAGUUAAAAUAAUAAUAUAAUAAUAUAUGUUAUAAUAAAACAAAACAUUAAAAGCCACCAUUUUAUGUUCAUCUUUCUUCACCGAAUGUAGAAAAGAAAAACAAGGUUUGAAAGCUUGAAACAUUCGGCCAUUUUGAAGCUUAAUUCAAGAUCAAGAAUUAAAGAAAUCGGAUUUGGAUCGGGGAAAUACAAAAGUGGUCGAGUAGCCGAUUUAACAGUCGACGACAUCCAAGGUAAGUCUAAUAGCAAUUUAAAUGUUAUUAAAUUGGAAUUUAUAUAAAUAUAUCUAUCAUACAUUUAGUAAGCUGGAACUAAAAGUAUAUAAAUUGAAUAAAACUUGGUGAUUUUUCUAUGUGAUAGCCGAACAUAGAAAUUAAUUUUGGGAGGUUGAUAUUAAUGGUAUAAAUUACAUGUAUAUUAGCUAAAGUAUGCUUUAAGUUCAAUGAUAUGAAACUAAUAGUAGAAUGUACAUGGAUAUGUAGUUCGAAUGUAAGAUUUAAUUUCUUGAGUUGAAUUUAAAGUUAUGAAUUAUAUAUAUAAAGUUUGAAUGUAUGAUACAAGUUCUUUGAUUCUUUGAGUUGAACUUAAUAUUAUGAAUUAUAUAUAUAUGCACAUAUGGUUCGAAUAUAUAUAUUUAAAGUUCUUGAGCUGAAUUUAAUGUAUGAAUUUUACUUACAUAUGUGGUUCGAAUAUAGGUUACAAAUUCUUUGAGCUGAAUUUUAAUGUUGUAAAUUAUACAUAUGUGGUUCGAAUGUUUGUUUGCUAUGGAGAAUUGAAUAUAGUUCAAUUCUUACGGAGAUACGGUUAUUGAGUAAGACUUAGGUAAACAUAAAGAAUUAUACGAAAGAUCAUCUUUGUAUAUGAGAUUUUCAGGCUUAAUGCCUAGCAGGCUUGAUGCCGGUGGAUUAUUUCAGGCUUAAUGCCUAGCAGGCUUGAUGCCGGUGGAUUAUUUCAGGCUUAAUGCCUAGCAGGCUUGAUGCCGGUGGAUUAUUUCAGGCUUAAUGCCUAGCAGGCUUGAUGCCGGUGAAUUAUUUUAGACUUUAUGUCUAGCAGGCUUGAUGCCGGUGAAUUAAUUCCGACUUUAUGUCUAGCAGGCUUUGUGCCGGUGAAAUGAAUCGGGCUUUGUGCCUAGCAGGCUUUAUGCCGGUGUUUUAUAUAGGGCUCUAUGUUUUAUAAAUUUUAUAUGAGCAAUAGUAAAAGCAAAUAAAUGUGUUAAGAAAGUUAAAUUAUUCAGGUAUGUGUUAGCCAUUUGCUUAAUUGCUGAUGAGGUAAGUUGAUUAUUUUAAUUUGAUAAUAGUUUCAAAUGAAAUAUAGAGUAUGAGUUAAUCAUUUGAGUAUAAGCAUGUUUUAGCAUAAUGAUUUAUUGAAUAUUCGGCUUUGCUAAAUAUUUAUGUGUAUUUGGCCAUAUGGUUUGUUUAUAUGAAAAUACAAUGUGAUUUUUAUUAAAGUGUUAUAUGGUACAAAAUAUUAUGAUAUUUGGUUUAUUUUAACUUAAUGAUGGAAUAAGUAUUAAUAUAUAUAUAAAUGAAUUUUUUCUUAUGACUUACUAAGCUUUAAAUAGCUUACUGUGCGUAUGUUGUUCUUCGUUUUAUAGAUUUUUGGAAGUUGGUUACGAGCUCGGGGAUCGUCAGAGAAGAUUAUCACACUAUCGACUCCUCUCGGUAUUUUGUAAAUUUUGAAUUCGAUCUUAUGGCAUGUAUAGCGUAGAUGAAAU